GUGAGCAGGUGUGACUCAUUUCCCUGGAGAAGUGGGAGAGAGGAAGGGAGAGGGCAGGAUUAUCUCACACUGACACACACACAGCCUUUAGACUGAGCUAUUUGCGUGGCUUAUUUAAAAGCAGCAAAACAAUGUUCUGUCUCUCUCUUCAUUUUUCUACCGGAAACACUUUAUAUUCUAGUCCUAUGUGUCUCAGCAUAGAAUCGAGCCUUUCAACAUCAUAGUGUAUUAAAAUACACAUUAUUUAGGAUCAUUACUUUUUAUGUUACAUAAACCCAACUAUGAGAACAAUUCAAACAAAUAAAUUUUAUGUUUUUAUUUUCUCUUCAGGUAUCAUCUAGUGAACUGUUCAGAUGCAACUGAAUUGAAAAGGAGCUGAACAAAAGAUCCUGAGAGAGACUUCAACAAAAAGUAAAAUGGAUUUUAUCAUACUUGAAAAAUCAACAAUUGCAGUCUGGAUUCAUACAUCACUGUCUGAUGCACCCAACUUGAGUCAAAAAGAUGUUUCAAAUCCCACUAGGCUGGAGGCAAAAAUACUCAAGAGUUUAAGAGCGUCUCUUGACAGUGUACAGAAUAAGAUAGCUUCUCAGCUUUCAGCUUUACUUCACGGUUUUAACUAUCAAAAGAAGCAAGCCAUCUGAAGAUUUGCCUGAGACUGAAGGAUCCACUUCUGCGACGACUCCCUCAGGACUUAUAAUGCAGAUGGAACCAGAUUGAGAAAAACCAGCCAACCAACCAACCAACAUGAUGGCUGAACCAGACAAGAGAAGUCCCGAAGUAAAAUACCCACCAAUUACCAGAAUCUGUGCCUGCCAUACAUCGAAGAAGCAUUUGUAUUCAGGCAAGAUUUGUGAGAAUAUUUUCUCCACCAAAGUAAACACAGCUUAUAAUAUA
rnacentral:lncRNA from 10 species